rnacentral:misc_RNA from 1 species
AAACCUAUCACAGAAAUGAAGAAUCAAUCAGAUAUUAAGAACUAUCAUGCGACACAAAACAUAUAUGCUAUGUGCUAUAUAUGUACAACCGCAUAUUGCACAGAACGCAUAAACUACAAGAGAACAAACCAGAUUAUGAGUAAACUUGGAAUAGUCUUAUUGAAAUAAGAAUUUUAAUCCCUCAACGCAAAGACUAACACAGAGAAAAUCUUUGCAAAUAAUUUUUGGCAACAAGGGGAGCAACACUUACCCUCCUGCAGAACAAAGGCCAA